GUUCUUUCUUUCUGCACACUAGAAAUGGACUCCUAUCCUUUUGUGUUAUCCUCAGGUUCAGAAUGUCACUGAGCUACAAUAAGCAUGCUUUGAUAGACUUAUACCUGCAUGAAUUCGACAGUUCCCUGAAUAGAUGCUAAUCAACUAUCAGGUCAGACAAGGAGCCACAGUCCUGCCAAGUAGAUCUCGAUAUCUACACUCCCACAGAUGCUUAGAACUUUUGACCUGCCUCUCUUCCUUUCAAAUUUUCUGGUCUUGCCUGGAGAGUGGAGGUUAUGUGCUGAAGAUACUUCUUUAUCCUGUUCCUCUUCACCUACUCAUGCCAGGUCUUGGACUUGACCUUCAAGGCCCUACAAGGGGCUCAGCUCAGCCUACAAUCACUGGGUGUCUCUGCCAAAGAACAUAUCUCUGCCCCUGGUGAGAUGGACAGAUCCUAUCUCCCUCCAAUGGCAGCCACCAGCCCCCCUGCUAACCCAUGGGAGAGGUAUGCUUGUGUUUUCCUCAGAGUGCCACUAUGCCAAUGUGGAUCCCAGCAAGAGAUGUGCACCUGGUCGCAGAUCAACAUGCUUCCAGCAAGGAGGAAAUAAUCCAAGAUGGGUAAUAUAUAUACUUUCCUGCUCUCAUUGUCCCUCUAAAGGCUGAGGACUUGUGGAGCCUCACUUUUCCUCAUUUUAUAUGAUGGCUUUUUGAGAUGAGGAACAUUAGUUUAGCAGGCCAUGAGCUAGCUAAAUAUAUUAAGGGCCCCAUGGUCAGCUAAGUUUCUAUAUUAUCCAUUACAGCUAAAUCAGACAAGGGCAGAGGAUAUGGCUUUUGACUCUUUAGUUUUUGAAAAGGUUUCGCAUGAUAUAAAGAGGCUGUUUGAUUCCUCCUGGCUUUUCACUUAUGUUUUGAUUGGUGGGGUAGUGCUUUUAAUCUUUCUCCUUUUCAAGUGUCUCCUAUAGCACAUCUGGCAACAACAGGUAGCCACUAAGGUGACUUUACAAGUGUUAAUGGCUCUUAGAUAUCCAACUCAUAGCCCUCCACAGGACAUUAUGCAUGCCUGGCUUUCUAAAAUUCAAAAGGCUACUGCCUGACCCUCCCCACCCAGGAUGACUCCCCGGGGAUGGACGCUCUUCAAGGGCUGAUAGUCAAUGAUGGAUAAGAGCUUGUUUGGCAAGCAAACCAAAGACAGAUGGGCACAGUCCAAUUGCUGAGCCCCCCUGAGGUGGGGUCAACAAGGCCAGAGCAAAGAACUCUGACUCCCACUGAGUGCCCACAUAAUAAAAUAAAAGGGUGGAUAUGUAGUAGGACAGCCCAUAGGGUCGAGGAAAUUGGCUCAGACCAGUUGCUAAGGCAUGCUCAUAACAUACUUCCUUUUGAGUCAACCUGGAGUCUGCCUGAGGGCCUAGCAACAGGUGCUGUCAGAGUUCCUGAUUGCUAUAAAAGUUCCUGAUCAUGCCCAGCCAAUGAGGGCCAACCAUGCAAUGCCACCAGAUUGAGACCCAGCUUGGGUGCUAGGAGGAGGUUAUAUAAGGCCUUCUCCAUUAUUGAGUAAAUGAGUUUGUUGUUUGCCUUUAACUGACUCCUGGUGUCUGUGCCGUUGACACCACACCUUCUCACCCCCUACCCUGAGGGAGCUGUUAGGAUCCAGCAACAAUGAGUGAUUAUUUGGAAAUGGUUGUGGGACAGGGCGGGACAGAGAUAAACCUCUGGUUAAAUAUGGCCCCAAUGUUUGGCAACUCCAUCCACAAAAAAUCUGAGAGAGCUUUAAAAAAAAAAGUUUCUAAAAUGGAGUCAAGAGCAGCUUCAUAGUUCAUGUCUCUCAUAUGGGCUGUGGUACAGAGACUCAUCCUCUGUCUGAGGCAUGCAUGCUUGAGCAGCAACAUGGUGGGUUCCCACCAGGCCUCGUGCUGCAUGGCAGGUUUAAGGCUUUUGCUCAGACAGAAAAAAAUACUAAAAGAUACACAGUAAAAAAGAAGUUCAGACAGAAAAACCUCUAAACAGGUUCCAGUAUGUUUUACAACGUGCGUAGGCUUAAGAAAGAAAUAAAAUGGGUAUUGACAGAUAUAAAAAGGAAUAAAUAAUUAAAAAAUAAUACAAUAAAGUCUUUAAAGAGAGAAGUAAGGGGUUGGGGAAAUGACUCAGGGGUUAAGAGCACUGACUGCUCUUCCAGAGGACCCAGGCAGCCUACAUGGCAGCUCACAACUGUCUGUAAUUUCAGUUUCAAGGGACCCAACACCCAUGGCAAAACACUAGUACACAUAAAAUAAAAAUAAAUAAAAAAAAGAUAAAUAAAAUAAUAAAAAAUAAGCCAUAUAAAGAUGGAAAAUACACAGUGAGUCUGAAUCCUGUGUGUUAUUGUGUGAUUUUGAUUUUUUUUAUGGCUGAUGGGCAAGAGACAGCUUCUGGGAGACAUGGGCUUGAAAGAGGGACUGAUGAAAUAUACCAACCUAAAUAUUUUAAGAAUGCUUUAACUUUAAAACAGAAGUCAAAAAAUAUAUUUGUAAAAUGGAACUCAAAAGAUGCAUUGCUUUGGAGAAGAGGUUUUGCUUUUAUUUCCACAGGAAACAAGUGGCAGUGGAUUCACUCCAGAUUAAUAUGGACCAGGUUUGUUCAAGGGAGACCUCCUGAACCUUGACAGGUGUUAUCUAUCAACAAAGGUUAUAGCUGAUCUUCCCAGGACUUGACCAUUAUCUCAAAUUUUCUCAGGGUUCACAUAAGAUUACCAGUGCCCCCAAUCAACAGGAAGUAGUCUAAAGAACUAUGUCAAAAUUCCCAAAAUAAAUUUUAUGAAUGUUUGUUUUCAUUUAAGAGGGGUUGAUUAUAAGAAAAGGUAGAUUAUUGAAUCUACUUUAAUCCAAAAGAUAACUGUUAAUCUCAAAAUAUUUUACAUUGAUAUAGAUUUUGGUUUAUUGAUACAAAUUUAAGGUCAAUUUUGUUAUACUGUGUGUAUAUUUCUACUCUUGUUUAAGGUAUUAUAUUUUUGCAGCUCUUUUAAAAAUAUAUUGUAUAGUUAAAAAAUACAGAUUGUUAGUCAUUAUAAUAGUCAGAGUUACAGCCAUAUUAGUUAGGUUUUCUAGGUAUACAAAGAUAUAUUUCAAUUAGGUAGGUAAUCUUCAAACACUUUAAAGACCUACAGAAUAUGGUAUUUAAAACGUUUUAAGAACUUCGACUUUUUUCGACAGUGAGACACGUCUGCUCCUGACAGCACCAAUUACUUCAAAGAGGGUGAUGGGCAUCGAAGAAACUCCUUAUGGACUUUGCUUUCAAUGUGGCAAGAGUAGCUGUUUGGGUAAGAAACUGCUCUUGCCUGGACUGCUUGAUAAUAUGCUGUAUAAAUUGGACAUGCAGGACCCACAAAAAUAAAUGACCACUGAACUUUGCCAAAACAAGGCAGGACAGUCCUUCAGGGUUCCUGCUUCACAAAAGAAACUGCCAGACAUUCUUCAGAACAUAGAGGAAAGUGACUGACAAACUUUGCCAAAAUAGGUGGGACAGUCUUUCAAAUUUCCUGCUUCACUGAAAAGUCUGCCAGAUACCCUAUACCUAUAGGCUGAAGAUGGAUGCCUCAAUGUUACAGAACUAUCCAGGAAGCUAGAUGUCUCUGUCAUUUCUAGAGUUUGGAAGUUGCUUGCAAUGCACUUCCUGUUUACUCAGGUAAUAUUAUAUCUGUCUGGGGUUUUUGAUGUAGUUGAAGACUAAAUAGUUAUAAUUAUAGUUUUCCUUAGUUAUGAUAAAAUGUAAAUUAGAUAUAAAACUUUAGAAUCACAAAGACAGGAUAGAUGAUAGAGUAUUUUCUCUAAUUUUGCCAAAUACAAAUAGACUUGUAUUUGUAUAUACAAAUAUUUUUACUUGAUAAUUGUUUAUUAUAUGCAAUUUUACUAUGUCAAAGUUAAAACCUUCCUUUUUGAUUAGACAGAAAAGGGGAAAUUCUGUGGGAUGGUCUUUCUGUAUGAUGUGAAUAUGUGUUGCUCUCAUUGGUUGUAAAUAAAGCUGUUUGGCCAAUGGCAAGGCAGAAUAAGGUUAGGUGGUACUAUCAAAUUGAAGAUGGAGAUAAAGAAGGGUGGAGUUGGGCAGAUGCCAGCCAGUUGCCAAGGAAGCAAGAUGUAUAGAAAGUGAAGUAACAAGCCACAAAUCAUGUGGCAGAGUACAGAUAAUAAAUAUGGGUUAAUUUAAAUGUAAGAGCUAGCUAAUAAUAAGCCUGAGUCAUUGGCCAAAUAUUUAUAACUAAUAUAAGCC